CCCGGAGGUACCUACAUACAAAAGAUAUAAAUGACCUAAAUGUUGAUGGACAAAGAAGGAUUUGAGGAAAGGUGGGAGUCUGAAGAGCAAGAAAGAACUGCCAUGCCCGGAUAAUAACCAGAGGAGACAUCGACCAACAUUGACUCCAUCUGAGCUGGGAUGCUGACACAGUGCCCAUGCUUUCUAGCCUACCACCAGUACUGCCAACCCCAGGAGGUGUGUGGACCUUCAUCAUCCUACCUUUGAACUUCCCCUUCAGGGACAGUCUCCUGACACGACCUGCAUAGAUCCAGCGAUGCCCAGCUGUGGGGCCUAUAAAUACCAGGUGACAUUUAUUUAUUUAUUUAUUUAUUUAUUUAUUUUUCCAGGUGACAUUUAAAAGGCUGAUUUUUAUUAGUAGGUUCUACUUACCAGAACAUUGAGUUGCCCAUGCUCAGAAAAGCAUAAUCUCAUUUUUGUAACUUCCUUCUUUUAGUUAAUACCUAAUGAUUUGGGGAGUCAGAGGCAUCACCAAGAGAAAAUGAAUAUGUAAUAUAUUGCUCGAGUAUUCUUUGAAAGGACUUCCCAUUACACGAUGAG
rnacentral:lncRNA from 1 species